UCGCCUGUUUAACAAAAACAUGUCCUUUUGAGUUUUAUUUAAGGUCUGACCUGCCCUAUGAGAAAUUAAAUGGCCGCGGUAUUUUAACCGUGCAAAGGUAGCAUAGUCACUUGUCUCUUAAUUGGAGGCUUGAAUGAAGGGUUGGACGAGAUAUAAACUUUCUUUAUUAUAUUGGGUUGAAUUUGACUUUUGAGUCAAAAGGCUUAAAUUUAUUUAUAGGACGAGAAGACCCUAUAGAAUUUUAUAUUUUAUUAUAAAUAAUUUAUUUGUUUAUAAUUAGAUUUUUUACAAUAAAAUAUUUUGUUGGGGCGAUGGGGAGAUUUUUUUAACUCUUUUUUUUUAUUAACAUUGAUAUAUGUAUUUUUGAUCCUUUUUUAGAGAUUAAAAGAUUAAAUUACCUUAGGGAUAACAGCGUAAUUCUUUUGGAGAGUUCUUAUCGAUAAAAGAGUUUGCGACCUCGAUGUGGAUUAAAA
rnacentral:rRNA from 1 species